AUGAACGCUGGCGGCGUGCCUAAUACAUGCCCGUCGAGCGAACAGACGAGGAGCUUGCUCCUCUGACGUUAGCGGCGGACGGGUGAGUAACACGUGGAUAACCUACCUAUAAGACUGGGAUAACUUCGGGAAACCGGAGCUAAUACCGGAUAAUAUAUUGAACCGCAUGGUUCAAUAGUGAAAGACGGUUUUGCUGUCACUUAUAGAUGGAUCCGCGCCGCAUUAGCUAGUUGGUAAGGUAACGGCUUACCAAGGCAACGAUGCGUAGCCGACCUGAGAGGGUGAUCGGCCACACUGGAACUGAGACACGGUCCAGACUCCUACGGGAGGCAGCAGUAGGGAAUCUUCCGCAAUGGGCGAAAGCCUGACGGAGCAACGCCGCGUGAGUGAUGAAGGUCUUCGGAUCGUAAAACUCUGUUAUUGGGGAAGAACAAAUGUGUAAGUAACUAUGCACGUCUUGACGGUACCUAAUCAGAAAGCCACGGCUAACUACGUG
rnacentral:rRNA from 1 species